rnacentral:lncRNA from 10 species
UCUGGCACGCAGCGUGGUGUCAGGUUCUACGUGCUCCUCACAAAGGAAAUAAAGCAGUGAAGUGACUAAAACAGCAGAAAACAAAAUCUUCUUGAGUAAAGUACUCUUGGCAGUAGACUUUAUGAUGUGGUACAACAUCAGGAAAAAAUAAACCCAGCAGACAGAUGGUCUCCAGAGAGAAAUAACCAUAAACUCUGAAACUACUACACAUGAAAGUACCUGCCCAAGGAAUAGAGAAGACAGAUGUUUCUCUAGGGAUUGACCUACAAUGGCACUUGUUGCUCUUGGUGACCAGAGCUAAAAGAAAGCUGAAAGCCAGCAUCAGUGUGUGAAGUCACUGAAGUAUUUUAUAGAUCAGAAAAGUUGGCAAGCGAUGGACACUAGACAACACAAACUUCCUCUCUCCAAAAAUAUAUUCACAGUCAGCUUUAAAGCUGUAGUCACUCCUCUGGGGUCUGAAUAAACAUGGCCAUUCUUGAUAGACAUGUUGACUGAUGGACUGAGAGAUAUAGAUACAUGCCAUGAGAUCUCUUUAUGAGCAGUGGUCUUAUGGAUAUCUGCAUGACCUCUGCUGAAGUAAAAUACUGUGGUUCGUGAGAAGACGUGACCUUUGGAUACAGCUGGUCUAGUCCUGGCUCUGCUGUGUCAGUGAAAGUGGAACAGUUACAUGGCUCUCCCGAAUCUCUGUUUUCACUUGGUUAAAUGAGGGUUACAUGUACUUACUUCCAGUGUUGUUAUGAGAAUUAAAUGAGAUUAAAUGUUAAAAUUUGUGAGCGGUCAAUAUAUGUACUUCUUUUCUCCCCCUCAGUCUCUUAAGAAUAUUCUACACCAGUAUUGCAGAAUAAAGAAAAAUGGAUAUGUUAAUUUGUUUGAUAUAAUCAUUCCACAAUGUAUACAUAUAUCAGGUGGGGAGCAGUGGCUCAUGCCUGUAAUCCCAGCACUUUGGGAGGCCGAGGCAGGCAGAUCACUUGAGGCCAGAAGUUCGAGACCAGCCUGUCAACAUGGCAAAAACCUGUCUCUACUAAAAAAUUUAAAAAUU